rnacentral:misc_RNA from 1 species
UCGUAUAACAGAGGUGCCGGGGCUGUCGCUAUCUUUGUGCACGCCCUGGUGCUCUCUCGCAAUCCAUCUCACCCCUUUUGUGCAUCACCGCGUGGGUGCUCUCCUUUGUGAAAAGGGAGCAUUUGCGCUUUUACACAGACCCACCGCAUGUCUAGAAUGUUGCGAUAAUAUGCAAUCAAUA